CCCUCCAGCCGAGCCCGGGAAGGGAGGGGAGGGCAGGGCCCAUCCCCAAGAAACACAGCUCCGGGGAGCGCUGGGGGUCGUUCAGUCUUCACACAGGGCUGUAGGGAGGAUGGGCCUCCUUGUGUCAGUGAGCAAACUGAGGCUUGGAGAGGUUAUAUCCUGGUGGUCGGGCCCCAGGACCCAGGCUUUUAACCCUUGUAGUGCUUGAGCAGAGCUUCCAACCCCAAGUCUGUGCAGUUGUUAGGGGUUGGCCUGGCAGAGUCCCCAAAACUGUCUUCCUUUCUGCGUCAGCAUCUUAUUACUUGUGUAUCCUUAGGUGAGUCACCUUACCUGGUUUAGUUGCCUGUUUCCACAAGGUGUUUGGUAGCUUCUGGGAGGCCAAAGACAAGUUUAGGGGGCUCUCGAUGUUAGGCCCCUUGAGGGCUCCCUCUGUGGUGCAGACAGGCAGGCAGGCUCACUCGGUGCUCUGUGUGCUCAGGGCUCCCCCGUCACCGUCACCGGGGAGACGGUGAUUUCCCGCCCCUACCCUAGGCUCCAAGCAAGUGUCACUUCCUGGCCAUGGAGCUAGUGAUCUCCGGCCCUGUGAGGGAUGACCUCUUCACCCUUCUGCCGAACUCCAGUAUGGGCCUAAAUCAGUUCAAGGAGAUCACAGCAGACGUAGGAGUCCCUGCCGGGUCCCGACGGGUGGCCUUGGAACCUCAACAAACAGUGCCCACCUGUAGGCAAAGGCACUCAGAUCCCCAGCACUUGGACUCUGUUUCCCCUCUGUCAGUGGAAUGAUAAACCCCACCUGCUGAUCCUGGUCUCCACAGUUCCGUCUGCCUGCUCCCCUUUCCCUGAGCAGGGGAGUGGGGUAUGAUGCUUGGUGGUAUCUGGGAGUAGCCGAGCAUGCUCAUGGGGCACACUAUGUCCCUUUGGAACCAGAGUGGACCCCUGGCACCAGGUGUGGGGCCUCUGAGCACUCAGAGGAGUGUCCACUCUGCUGACCCACCAUCAGGGCAGUUCCCAGAUCUGCUCCCUGCUUACCCUCCCCCAACGCGUGCUCCACUCCUUUUGGGCUGGCUCGUUUAUACAGCCAGUUUCUGUUUUCGGGUGGUUUCCAUCUUUUGGUCCUUGAGGACAACCCUUGAAACAAGUGGGGCAAGGACAGAUGGCCAUGGUUCGCAGACAAGGAAGCUGAGCCUGGCUACUCAGCAGGUCGGGUCCAGGAUGAGAGCCUGGUCUCCUGCAUCAGAGCCUUUCCACUGCUCCACCUGUGUGGGUCCUGGCUUGGACACACACAUACACACAGGCAGGCAUGAAGGCCAGACACCUGCCUUCUCAGCCCAGAAUUCUGCAGAGUGCCACGGGAUGGGGGCCACUGGGCAGGGCUCCUAGGAGUUACAGGUCAGUCCCCUUCUUUCUGAUCCCACGGCCCUCUGGGCUACUCCCACCUAGGACUCGGGCAGCAGCAGACCGAGACCCUGCCGCCACAGAGUCAGGGCCACCUGCAGCCACCUGUGCUCUUGAGUGGCAGCUGUGGCCAUAGAUAAUCCCCUCCCCUUCUUGGGCCUGGCUUUACUCCUUUGUUAGAUUAGGUGACCCUGACCCCUCUCCCCCUGUCUGAUGUCCUGACUGGUGCUGACACAGCUCCGUGUUCAUGCACUUGCAGUUGGGGGUCAGCUUACCCGCCUCCCCCGGUUGGGGGUGGUGAGGACAGCUGGGUCACAUUCCUCCUGUUACUGAGUAGGGCUUUCCUAGGCUACAGAGCCCCCAGCCCCUCCCCUGGGGAGCAGCAGACAGGCUCUCUAUCACAACAGUUCAGGACAUAGAAAAAGCACUGGACGGAGAGUCACAAGUCCCGGGCCCAAGGCCUGAGUGUGUCACUUACUGGAGAUGUGACUUCAGGCCCUCCGGGCUUGCGUUUGCUCAGCUGUAAAAUGGGGAUAGUAACUCUAGCCAUGCCUGUUUUAUGGGGUGGUUGUGGAAGUCAGAUGAGGUCAUGGGCAUGGAGUGCCCUGCAAACAGCAAAGUCUGGUCCAAUUAUGAGGGAUUACGAUUGCUAUUAUUAUCCACCCAUAGUAACUGCUCUGGCUCGAGAGGCAGCACACGCACAUCCAGGCCCCGAGCCGGGUGCUGAUGGAGGGAGCUGAUAGACAGGGGCGAGUGCCCCUCCCCGGUCUGCACGCUGGCUCACCUGGCACACCUCCCUGGCACCUCUGGGCUGGCUCCCACAGCUCCAGGGAGCUGCCCUGGGAGGGUGGGCAGAGGCGCUGACAGCCGCCCACUGCAGCCUGCGAAAGCCAGGCCUGGGGCAGGGGUGCUGUGUGGCUGCAGAGGGGAAGAUGGGCUUGGGCUGCGGCCCAAGGAGCCUGGCGGAGUUUCCCGGGGCACCUGGCACAAAGGAACUGUUGGGUGAGCCAGAGGAAGGGGUGUGGCUGCCCAGUGGCCCCUUCACCACCGGCCCCACAUGCCCUUCCCGCCGCCCUCCUGGCCACGCCUCGUGCACCUUUCACUCCAGGGCUUCCUGGAGCUGCCAGGCCUUUGUUUAUGCUGCGUCCUCUGCCUGGUAUGCCCUUUCCCUGAUUUUCUUUCCUCCUCUCUGAUCAAAGGCCUGGCUUCAGUCUGCCUUGAAUCACAGAGAGAACCAGCGGUUCUCCAAAUGUGAUCCCUAGACCAGCAGUACCAGUGGUACCUGGAAGGGCUAGACAUGCCACAGCCCGGGCCCCACCCCGGCCUGCUGAGUCAGGAACCUGGCGACGAGACCCAGCAGUCCUUGUUCUCACCGGCCCUCUCGGAGACUUGAAAAGUACAGUGUGGCUAACAUCCAGCCCCGUGCUGCCCCUGGAGGGCAGGGCCCCAGCCACUGCCGUCUGACUCCUCAGGCCUGACUAGCACAGAGUAGGUGCUCAGGACGUGUUUUGUGGCUUGGAUAGAAAGGAAGUUGAGAGUGAUAAGACCUCUCCACAGGAGGACAAUCCCAGAACCUGGAUCAAGCCGGCAGGGGGAGGCGGCCAUGCUUGUGGCCGGGACUGUAGACGUCUGGGUAUGUGGUGUCCUCUGGCGUCGGGCCAGCAUCCCUUCUCCCUGCAGCCUCCCCCACCCUACCAUGCAUACGUUGGGCAGGGAGGGCUGAGCUCUGGGGCUCUGGCUGGGGAGGGUCAGCUGGGUAAAUGUGGCCACAGAAAAGGGAGGGGGAGCCGGGCAGGGAGGUGAGCAGCAGGGAGGCCAGGAGCCUUGGUCCUGGCUCAGAGGGGAUCAUGGAGCUAGGGUGCCAGGCCUCGUGCGGAGGAGGGAGAGGGGAGAGGGAGCAGGAAAGGGGACCAAGAGCACUCCAAGCCUUGGGGCUGGAAGGGCGUCCUCAGAUCCCCAAAUGUGAAUCAGUGUCUGGCCACGAGUGCAGAUCCCGGGCUGGGCCCCUGAUCUUAAGCUCCCCCUUCCCUCUGGCCUCAGAAACAACAGAUGCAUUGAGUGCUGACUAUCUGCCAGGUGCUCUUUUAAGCUCUGUAUUUGCAUCAUCUUAUUUCAUCCUUACAAUUUCUCCAUAAGAUAGGCUCUAUUAUUUUUAUCACUCUAUCCUAUCAAAGACUAAACUGAUGCUCAGAGAGGUUGGGUCAUUUGUCUAAGGCCACACAGCUAGCAAGUGGUGAUGGUCCUGGAAUUGAAACCCAGGCUUCUGUGCCUUUCAGGCUGCCUCCUGUGUGGAGGGGGAUAGAGUGGACGGUGCCUCCCAGCUGUGAGGUUCCAUAGUCCGAUCCACGUUCUUCUGCUGAAGGUUCAAGAAUGUGUAUGUAAACAAAAAGUCAGGAUGGUCAGAGAAAGCUUUUCUCUGUGUAGCUGUGCUCUUACAUGAGGUGGAGGUUGGGGGCACUUCAUCUCCAGCAGGGGUUCACAUACACCGGCUUACAUGCGUGACCAUGGGUGCAUGUGCACACUUGCAUGCACACACACACAAGAUACACGCUUUUCUGUGAAGACACAGCUGGGACACAUUGCUUCUUUCUCUUUCUCCUUUCCUCUCUGUACACAUAGCUUCUCUUUCCUUCUCUUCAGACUUAGGUACCUUUCCAGGUACAUGGUACACAGUAGG